CUUUCCUUUUACGAAAAAGGGUUAAAAAAACAAAAAAAAACUUGUCGGUCUGUCUUUUCCAUUUUCACAUACGAUUUAUUAUUCAAUUCAAGCGAUAUUGCUCAAUUUAAACUCUUUGUUGGAUAAUCUGUGGAUUAAUUCGGGUUAACAGGUUUUAAAACCAUCGAAGAAUGGUCAGAUUCGAGUAGAAGAUACUAAGAGAAGAUAAGAGUUGUAUCUGAACUAAUGGUUUCAGAAACGGUGUACUUUGUGGCUUUGUUAGUAUAAACGCGAGCACAAUGGUAAGAAAGGGACUUUGACCUGGAUUCUCCAGCCGGUCUUGUAAGGAGGAAUGUCUCUUAAGAAAGCGAAAGAUGCUGCCAUUUUGAUUGUAUAGGUUUGAGCUUUGUGUGAUUGUGGAUGUGUUUGGCUGUCGAUGUUUGUUGGUGAGACACUGUUUAUAUAGCUCGCCAUUGGGAUCUUAGUUGUUUUGGAAGAAAAUUAGGAAUGGAAUGGAAGGAAGUUAAAGAAAGUUGUUCCAAUUUCUAUAUUUUUGGGUGAAAAGAAAGUUGUUCCAAUUUCUAUAUUUUCGGGAUUGUAUAUGAUUGAUUAAUCUCGGAUGAUUAGAAUUCGAAUUUAGUAAGAUAAUUAACUGGAAAACUGAUAUGCGAUUAUAAUAGGACAUACAUUUGAUUAUAAUUAAAAUUAUUAAAAAUAUUAAUAAUAUUGACA